rnacentral:rRNA from 1 species
UACGUAGGUGGCAAGCGUUAUCCGGAUUUACUGGGUGUAAAGGGCGUGUAGGCGGGAGCGCAAGUCAGAUGUGAAAACUCAGGGCUCAACCCUGAGCCUGCAUUUGAAACUGUGUUUCUUGAGUGCUGGAGAGGCAAUCGGAAUUCCGUGUGUAGCGGUGAAAUGCGUAGAUAUACGGAGGAACACCAGUGGCGAAGGCGGAUUGCUGGACAGUAACUGACGCUGAGGCGCGAAAGCGUGGGGAGCAAACAGG